rnacentral:pre_miRNA from 11 species
CUCUUCUUCCUUCCUUCCUUUUCUCUCUUUCUUUCACAGCCGUCAGUGUCAUUUUUGUGAUUUGCAGCUAGUAAUCCUGGCCCAGUUGCAUAGUCACAAAAGUGAUCAUUGGCCGCUGUGCCAGCUGCAUGGA